GACGAACCGUGCGAACGUUGUUCGGAAUCACUGGGCUUAAAGGGCGCGUAGGCGGGCUCUCAAGUCCGGGGUGAAAUCCUCCCGCUCAACGGGAGAAGUGCCUUGGAUACUGGGAGCCUGGAGUGGGGUAGGGGCAUGCGGAACUUCCGGUGGAGCGGUGAAAUGCGUAGAUAUCGGAAGGAACGCCGGUGGCGAAAGCGGCGUGCUGGACCCCAACUGACGCUGAGGCGCGAAAGCCAGGGGAGCAAACGGG
rnacentral:rRNA from 1 species